CGAUUGGUUGUGGUUAGGCAUUUGACCUGGAGUGGUCAAGGUUAGGAUAGCCGAUUGGUGCUGAACAAAUGAG